rnacentral:tRNA from 1 species
GUGGCCAUGGUGUAGUGGUAACACGCGGGGCUGUGGACCCCUCAUCGAGGGUUCAAUUCCCUCUGGUCACC